UACAGAGGGGGCAAGCGUUGUUCGGAAUUACUGGGCGUAAAGGGCGCGUAGGCGGCCUUCUAAGUCGAACGUGAAAUCCCCGGGCUCAACCCGGGAACUGCGUCCGAUACUGGAAGGCUUGAAUCCGGGAGAGGGAUGCGGAAUUCCAGGUGUAGCGGUGAAAUGCGUAGAUAUCGAGAGGAACACCAGUGGCGAAGGCGGGUCUCUGGACGAUUCCUGACGCUGAGGCACGAAAGCCAGGGGAGCAAACGGG
rnacentral:rRNA from 1 species